AAAUUAGUUCUUCAUUUUGUCAUUUUUUCACUUGCAUCUUGGGGUACAUCAUUACAGGUAAAUUCCCGAGUCAGCUGUCUUCUGUUAUAUUUCUCAUUUACACAUGGAUGCUGUUAGGCACUAGGCUAUUAAAGUGAAAUGGCAAAUUACUCCCUUAGCUUAGUUCUUAGUAAACACACCACACCAUCUCCUUCUCUGGUCUCCAUAGUCAGCCUCAGAAGUGGGCAAGUUAAGCAACUACCUACUUACAGAUUUGGAAGAUGACAAAGGGUCUCUACCUAAAAAUGCCUUCCCUCACCUGUAAUUCUGAUUCUUCACACUCCCCAACAGCCUCCUUGAAAAGAGAUAUCCUUUCCAACUGGCUUUAGGUAUGAGGUUACCUGAGAAGGAUUAUUUAUUAGCUAAUUAGCCUGUCACAGAAACCCCACCUGCUUCCAAUAUCACCCAGAAUAGCAGAAGGUCCCAAAAGAAUGACACCCAGGCUGAUAUGAUUUGAUGAUUAAGGGAGCGAGUGGAGGAGAUGAAAGUGGAGUUAGAAAUUAAAGGAAGGAGAGGACUUCCCUGGUGGUCCAGGGGUUAAGAAUCUGCCUACCAAUGCAGAGCACACAGUUCAAUCCCUGCUCCAGGAAGAUCCCACAUGCUGCAGAGCAACUAAACCUGCAAGCUGCAACUACUGAAGCCUCUGUGCCCUAGACCCUGUGUCCCACAACAAGACAAGCCACCAUGAUGAGAAACCCAUGCACUGCAACCAAGAGUAGCCCCAGAGUCCAAGCACAGCAGCAGAGACCCAGUGCAACCAAAAAUAAGUAAAAGAAUUAAGGGAAGGAAAGACCCAGAAUCUCAGCACCAUUAAGAACUGCAGAACCUUUGGGCAGCCUACGGACUUAAAGACAUACACACCUCUAAGAGAAAUUUUUUAAAAGCGGGAGUUAGUGUUUAAUGAGUACAGAGUUUCAGCCAGGGAAAAUGAAAAAGUUCUAGAGAUGGAUGGUGAUGGUGGUUGCUUAAGAAUGUGAAUCCACAAAACUGUGGAUUUUAAAGUGGUUAAAAUGGUAAGUUGUAUGAUGUGUAUCCUAUAAAUACUUUCGAGACAAUCUGUGAGGGAAAUGAAGGCAGUCAAGGCUGUUGUCACCAAUCCUUUGCCUUAGGUAAUAUAGUAGUCAGCCUUCAAGCUGGCUCCAAUGAUCCUCACCUCCUAGUAUCCAUCCUUUCGUGUUGUCCCCUCCCACACUGGGUUGGGCUGACAUGAGUAACCAUAGGACACAGCAGAGACGACCCCAGAAAUGAUCUUCCCAGGCUAGGUCCUAAAGGGUAUUGCAACAUCUAACUGAUUUCUCUCUUGGAUCUCUUGCUCUGGAGAGAGUGAGCUGCCAUGUUCUGAGGACGUGCAAGCGGUAUAUGGAGAGGUCCAGGGAUGAGAAACUAAUGCCGCAUCCAACAGCCAGCAUGAACUUGCCAACCAAGUGAGGAGCCACCUUGGAAGCAGGCUUCCAGCAGCCCCAGUCAACAUCUGUACUGCAACCUCAUGACACAAAGCCAGAACCACCCAGCUAAGCUGCUUCCAAAUCCCUGGCCCACAGGAAUGAGAGUUUUUCAGCCCAAGCUUGACGAGCUGUGGAACCGUCUCCAGUUUCUCCAACAGUCUGGCCAGACUGGCUCGUACAUCACCACACCAGGGCAGCAUCAGAGCAGUCAGCUCUUCUAAGACGUGCAGCCUGUCAACUUGAAGAACCAGGGAGCAGUUUCAGAAACUGGAUCCAUCUCAAAAUUGAUAAAGGAUGAAGGGACGUGAGAGAAGGAAUGACUAUUAUCUCUGAAGCCUGCUCAGUGUGCAAUAAGAAUUUACUUGUUUUUUUGUUAACAUUUUUAUGGGAAGUGUUCAAGAAUAUACAAAAAUAUAUAAAACUAAUAUGCCAACUUUCAACAAACACCAAAUCAUGGAUAAUCUUGCUUCAUUGUCAUUAAAUCCUUCCCUUCUAUAUUAUUUUGAAGCAAAUCUCAGACAAUGAUUUUCAGAUAAAUCAAGAAUGCUCAGUCUGGCCAAGUUAUGAAGAUUCUGAGCUGGAAAAAAGAAAUUUCAAUCCAAAACAAGACUAUAAAUGCAUUUAAA